rnacentral:rRNA from 1 species
UACGUAGGGGGCUAGCGUUGUCCGGAUUUAUUGGGCGUAAAGAGCGCGUAGGCGGCCCGAGUAAGUCCGACGUGAAAGUCUAGGAGGCUCAACCGUCCAGCGGUCGUUGGAAACUACUCGGCUAGAGUCCGGAAGAGGAGAGUGGAAUUCCUGGUGUAGCGGUGAAAUGCGCAAAUAUCAGGAAGAACACCGAUGGCGAAAGCAGCUCUCUGGGACGGUA